GGAGCGGCAGACGGGUGAGUAACGCGUGGGAAUCUACCCAUCACUACGGAACAACUCCGGGAAACUGGAGCUAAUACCGUAUACGUCCUUCGGGAGAAAGAUUUAUCGGUGAUGGAUGAGCCCGCGUUGGAUUAGCUAGUUGGUGGGGUAAUGGCCUACCAAGGCGACGAUCCAUAGCUGGUCUGAGAGGAUGAUCAGCCACACUGGGACUGAGACACGGCCCAGACUCCUACGGGAGGCAGCAGUGGGGAAUAUUGGACAAUGGGCGAAAGCCUGAUCCAGCCAUGCCGCGUGAGUGAUGAAGGCCCUAGGGUUGUAAAGCUCUUUCACCGGUGAAGAUAAUGACGGUAACCGGAGAAGAAGCCCCGGCUAACUUCGUGCCAGCAGCCGCGGUAAUACGAAGGGGGCUAGCGUUGUUCGGAAUUACUGGGCGUAAAGCGCACGUAGGCGGAUA
rnacentral:rRNA from 1 species